AGAUUGAACGCUGGCGGCAUGCCUAACACAUGCAAGUCGAACGGGAGUAGCAAUACUCUAGUGGCGGACGGGUGAGGAAUACGUAGGAACUUUGCCCUUAAGUGGGGGAUAACCCGGGGAAACCCGGAUUAAUACCGCAUGACCUCGAAAGAGCAAAGUGGGGGAUCGCAAGACCUCACGCUUUUGGAGAAGCCUACGUCGGAUUAGCUAGUUGGUGAGGUAAUGGCUCACCAAGGUCGACGAUCCGUAACUGGUCUGAGAGGAUGAUCAGUCACACCGGAACUGAGACACGGUCCGACU
rnacentral:rRNA from 1 species